rnacentral:rRNA from 1 species
GGAUUAGAUACCCUGGUAGUCCACACCGUAAACGCUGUCUAUUAGCUGUUUGUGUAUCUGAUACGUGAGUAGCGAAGCUAACGCGCUAAAUAGACCGCCUGGGGAGUACGGCCGCAAGGUUAAAACUCAAAUGAAUUGACGGGGGCCCGCACAAGCGGUGGAGCAUGUGGUUUAAUUCGAUGCAACGCGAAGAACCUUACCUACACUUGACAUCCAGAGAACUUAGCAGAGAUGCUUUGGUGCCUUCGGGAGCUCUGAGACAGGUGCUGCAUGGCUGUCGUCAGCUCGUGCCG